GACCUCCCAGGAUCAUGUCUGGAGAGUGGCUAAUAUUCCACCAGCUUUGGAGAUGGGAGGGAAAGCAAGCCUGUCAGAGGCCCAUUUCAUUCCCAGUUUGCUCAGUAGGUGGUGAUUGGAAGCUACUCUGUGCCUAUG